GCUGCUGUGGAUCAGGGGGAUCACCCUCAACUAAUAUGGUUGUGGAUGUCAAGUCUGAGGGUGACGCGGGUUCGACUCCCGUCAGUGGCA